rnacentral:lncRNA from 1 species
GGAUGAACAGGAGUUAGGUGAAGAGGAGAACGAUGUCCAGGCAGGGGCCGGGGAAGCUCGUGCCAAGGCACUGAGGGGAAGUGCUGCAAUGAACCUCAGAGGCUGGAUCUUGCUGACUCAUCUGGGGUACCAAGGACAGACAAAGGACAUGGAGUCCAGGCCCAGGAGGCGAUACCAGGCCAGCAGUUUCACUGAUGCUCCUGUCAUGACGAUGACUGCCUCCCUCCUCCCCUUGGUCCCUGACUCAGUGUCUGCAGUGACCAGGCACCAGGCAGGGAGCAAGGAACCAAGCCUUUCACCUGCUCCCACCAACUCCUAUGGUGCUCCCUUUCCAAGGCUAGGUCUCCUCUCCACCCAGUUCCUUAUCACGUACCAUGAGAAGCUGUCACCUUGGCAACUGUCACCUUCUGGUGAGAUUUACAAUUGCACUGCUACAACUGCUUGUGGCAUGGUAAAGUUGCACCAGGACCUCUGCUGUCCAUGAGAUCAAAGUUCCAGGCCAAGGCACCAGGGGCACGAACAGUGUUGCCCGCAUGGAACUCACACUUAAUGGGAGCGGCAGCCAACAGGUAAAUAUAUAGAAUGCCAUAUGAUGAUAGAUGCUAUGAAGAACAUAAAGAAGGGAAGGUGUGUUGAGAGCGGAAAGGGUGCUGUUUAACAAAGGGCAGUUGGAGAAUGCCUCCCUGAUCAGGUGUUGAGCCCAGUGAAGGAAAGAAAUGAGGGAUCCAGCCAUACAAGUGCCUGGGGGAAGAGCCUUCCAGCAGAGAGACCAGCAAGUACUCAGGUGAGAGUGAUCUUGGUGUGUUCAAACAGCAGUUAGGAGGCCAGCGUGAGGCUGCAGUGGCGUGAGCCAGGUGGAGCCACUCAAAGGAUAGAGUUGUGAUUUAUGGUGAAGCGGGUUUGAAGGAUG